rnacentral:rRNA from 1 species
GAGCGCGUAUAGGGGCAACCCUUAGUAGAGCGGCGCACGGGUGCGUAACACGUGGAUAAUCUGCCUGAGUGCUCGGGAUAACCAGUCGAAAGAUUGGCUAAUACCGGAUAAGCCCACGGUUUCUUCGGAGACUGAGGGAAAAGGUGGCCUCUGUAUACAAGCUAUCACAUUCAGAUGAGUCCGCGGCCCAUCAGCUAGUUGGCGGGGUAAUGGCCCACCAAGGCAACGACGGGUAGCUGGUCUGAGAGGACGAUCAGCCACACUGGAACUGAGACACGGUCCAGACUCCUACGGGAGGCAGCAGUGGGGAAUUUUGCGCAAUGGGCGAAAGCCUGACGCAGCAACGCCGCGUGUGUGAUGAAGGUCUUUGGAUUGUAAAGCACUUUCGACCGGGAAGAAAACCCGUUGGCUAACAUCCAACGGCUUGACGGUACCGGGAGAAGAAGCACCGGCUAACUCUGUGCCAGCAGCCGCGGUAAUACAGAGGGUGCAAGCGUUGUUCGGAAUUAUUGGGCGUAAAGCGCGUGUAGGCGGCGUGACAAGUCGGGUGUGAAAGCCCUCAGCUCAACUGAGGAAGUGCG